rnacentral:lncRNA from 1 species
UCUUUUGUUCUCUCAAUUAAAUAUUGUUAAGAUAGCAUAGUAAUCCGUAGGAUGCGGCGGAUAGAUAAUUAAAGAAAACAUAAAAAAUUUUGACCAAAAAAAGAGAAAAUAGCGAUAAAAAAAGGCAAUGAUGAAGGAUGGGAUUUAUCUUGCCGUUGAACGAAAGUAAUAGCCGAAGAAAGAGAAAGAGUAAGGACUUGAGCUGGUUCGAGAUGGAGUUUACACUCAACUAUAAAGAAAAAAUUGUCAUGUGGCAACUUCAGAAAAAACAAAUAUAUAGGUAUAGAUUUAGAACUCAUAUCUCUAAUUUUUAUACAUAAGUACUUCAGAA